UGCCAGCCGCCGCGGUAAUACGUAGGUGGCAAGCGUUGUCCGGAUUUACUGGGCGUAAAGAGCGCGCAGGCGGCCAGGUCAGUCGAAUGUGAAAGCCCCCGGCUCAACUGGGGAUGGUCGUUCGAUACUGCUUGGCUCGAAGGUAGGAGAGGGGAGUGGAAUUUCAGGUGUAGUGGUGAAAUGCGUAGAUAUCUGAAGGAACACCAGUGGCGAAGGCGACUUUCUGGCCUAUUCUUGACGCUGAGGCGCGAAAGCUAGGGGAGCGAACGGGAUUAGAUA
rnacentral:rRNA from 1 species